AGGAAAAGAAACCAACAGGGAUUGCCUUAGUAACGGCGAGUGAAGCGGCAGAAGCUCAGAUUUGAAAUCUGGUGUCAUAUUGACAUCCGAGUUGUAAUCUGUAGAGGAGUUUUUUGGAUUAUUACUUUGGUUAAAGUUCCUUGGAAAAGGACAUCAUAGAGGGUGAGAAUCCUGUUUAUGACCUUAGUACUUCUCCUUCAUAAAUCUCCUUCAAUGAGUCGAGUUGUUUGGGAAUGCAGCUCUAAAUGGGUGGUAAAUUCCAUCUAAAGCUAAAUAUUGGCAAGAGACCGAUAGCGCACAAGUAGAGUGAUCGAAAGAUGAAAAGAACUCUGAACAGAGAGUUAAAGAGUACGUGAAAUUGUUGAAAGGGAAGCACUUGUGACCAGACAAAAUUGCAAUUAAUCAACCAUCACUAGUGGUGGUGCACUUGAUUGCAAGUGGGUUAGCAUCAGUUAUAAUAGUAGGAUAAAGAUCAAAGGAAUGUAGCCCCUCUUUGAGGAGUGUUAUAGCCUCUGGUUUAAUACUGCUGGCUAUAACUGAGGAUAGCACUUCAAGUAAGGAUGCUGACAUAAUGGUUAUAAGUGACCCGUCUUGAAACACGGACCAAGGAGUCUAACAUCUAUGCGAGUAUUUGGGUUGAAGCCCUUAUGC
rnacentral:rRNA from 1 species